UCGGUUGUCACAGAAUCCACACUUGAAUAAACAUUAAAAGAUAAGAAUAAAAGAAGAUGAGAAGAUGAGAAGAUAGAAUCUAUUGUCUGUAGAUUUGAUGCUCUUUCCUUGCUCCUACUUUGAAUCUUCAGUGGUCUCCAAGUCGCUUCGAUCUCCAAAUCUCAUAAAAACCAGUGUUUUCUCCUAUUCUACUCUAAUCUAAUCUAAUGGAAUCCUCUCUCCCUCAUCUAAUCUAUAUAUUCUCUCCUCAUUUAUAUGCCUUUUUAUAUGUCUUUAAGUUCUCUUGGAAGUCCUUUAGUCAAUCGAAUCAAAACAAUCCUUCUUGAACUCAAAUUCGGACAAAAAAUGACUUUUCUGCGCAUACCUCCGCCGGGGCGGGGGUUAUAAGGCUAAAAGGGCCAGCCCCGGCGGGAGUCCCUACUGUUUUGCAGCUGGUAUGCUCGCCCCGGCGGGGGUUUUGUGAAUAGAAAGGCCGCUCCGGCGGGGGUCACUUUUCUGCUCUGACGUCCUUUGGGAAAAUGGAUAUAACUUCUUCGUCUGAACUCUGAUUUCGAUGAUUCAAGAUGUUCUGGAAAGAGGAGACAUAGAUAUACAACUUUCAUUCUUUAAGUUUUUCGAAAUAAGGAAUGGACAAAUGUUGAAAUUGGCUCUGAACUGGAAGCCCAAACGAUAUCCGGAUUGUUUUUCUUUGCGUUUUCCUUAGUUUUCCUUACCAAUAGUCGCUCACACCGCUCCCAAACAUAUAACCUACAAAAUGAACAUAAAAUGCAUAGAAAGUAACUAAGAAACAUGAAUAUAAGCAACUAAUUCAAGUAACAGAUACCGGAUAAGUAGGUAUAAAACCUACUUAUCAAAUACCCACAAACUUAAACCGUUGCUUAUCCCCAAGAAACA
rnacentral:lncRNA from 1 species